AUAUUUGACAGAUUAAUUCUUAUUUUGACCGAUUUUGAGUUAUGUUGUGCAGAUUGAGAACGAAAAAGCGCGAAUAUGAACACAGACACAAUGGCUAAUGGACACAUAUUGCAAACUGCAGAAGAGAGGACAUGAAACCAUUCUUGGACUCUGAAGAAUACUAUGCAAACCAUGCUUUUGGAUCUACUGUUAAGUUUUUGUAAUAAAGCUGAGGUUUUGGGAUUGAAAAUCUUCUGCCACAUGAUCUUCCGUAAAAAAAAAAGUCAGUUAUGCAGAUUGGAAAAGACAUGGAUGCAGCAAGGAUCCAGCUGAUUACUUCAGAUUUGGUGGACUGCUCUUUAUCUGCUGUGACUGUCACUUCUGGUGCAGAAUCAUGGACCUUUAUUUGUAUGUUUUGAUUUGACUUAUUACACUUGUGUAGCUAGUAUUCAGAAUUAAAAUACAAUGUAAUUUUUGUCCACGUAUAUUAUCAGAGCUAUAUAGAAUCCAAUAGGGUCAGUCAAAUAUUGAGAAAAAACACUAUAAACCUGAUUGGGAAAAUACAAGCUAAAAUACAGUUCCCUCCACAAUCUUUUUCAAAGAAAAAAUCAUGAUACUAUAACCCUAACUUGUAAGAUAAAAAUGUAAUUUUUAGUUUUUCAAUUGCUCCUCAAGAAUUCCUCCUCAGGAAUUUGUUUACAUAAAUUUACAUCUAAAUAAUGAAACAGUUUUAAGCAUGGAAUACACUACACGACUUCUGAACAGAUUUUUAAAACAGAUUUUUGACUUACCGACUUUGUAAAUAAUGACAAAGGAAAGCUGGGCAUCAUAUACUUAAGCCUGGAAUACACUACACGAUUUUUGCCCUGAUUUUCCGCCAAUUUACAGUCAGGAGAAGUUGACGCUAGUUGCCGAAAGUCAGAGCCAGUCUGCAGAUUUGAGAUGACAGAUUCCAUAGAAAAUUGCAUAGUGUAUGAUAGUCACAGACUCCGGUUUUUUAAGCUUCAGACUCUGAUUCUAUCCAGUCGGAGGAUAUCAAACGUUUGAUAUUUUCAGCCGAUUUUACAAUGCAUAUUGUUUUCAUUUGUCAUGCGUCUCCUAGCAACACGGCUCAUGUUUCUGAGUGAGUUUGUUGUGAUCGGAACAACUUUAAAGUCUGGUAGUGUAUGAUCCUCAGUCAUGUAGUGUAUGAUGCCCAGUUUUCCUUUGUCGCUAUUUACAAAGUCAGUAUGUGUAUGAUGCCUAGUGUUUUAAAAAUCUGUUCAGAUUUUAAAAGUCAUGUAGUGUAUUCCAGCCUUUAGAAUUAACAGUCAUUUGAAACAGUGGCAAUCUUGUAGACGUUUUGUAUUUCUUCUUUU